AACUUUCAGCAACGGAUCUCUUGGCUCUCGCAUCGAUGAAGAACGCAGCGAAAUGCGAUAAGUAAUGUGAAUUGCAGAAUUCAGUGAAUCAUCGAAUCUUUGAACGCACCUUGCGCCCUUUGGCUAUUCCGAAGGGC
rnacentral:rRNA from 1 species